UCCGAUAUGGUGUAGUGGCUAACAUUAUCGCCUCUCACGCGAUAGCCCGGGGUUCAAUUCCCCGUGUCAGAA
rnacentral:tRNA from 2 species